AGCUUAUGGAGGAUAAGUGUUUUGUGCAAAAACACGGAGCUCAUAGUGUUAGAGCCAGGAUUCAAACACAUCUUCCUGUAGCUUGCUUUUACAACAUCAUUUAAGUCUGAGAACCUAAAACUCUGGGAGUUUGUCCAUGACAUCCUACUUCUAUAUUUUCACUAUUUAUGAUUAGAAGUAUAUUAUUAUAAGGGAAAAAGUAUAUGCUAGAUGAAAUUAUACAUUUAUACAGUGAUCCCAUGGAGAUUCCUUUAUAUUUUCUGGGCUUUCCUAUCCCUACAAUAACAAGCUACUAGGACCUGGGAAACUUUUGGAAGUGAAAGUAUGAGGACACCCAGCUUUGAGAACUCAUAGAGCUACUCCAGAGGAUCAAGAUACCUACACCCUCUACCUCCAAACAAAUUCUGCAUUUUUGAGGUUUUUCAAAUGGGUCCAAUACUAAUAAAAUACGUUUUAAAGGGCUACUACAGAGAUUCAUUUUAACCUGAAAGAAAUCUUCUAUCUCGUUUGCAAGACAGGUUGUAAUAAAAGUUUCUUCUAGCACAUUCUGGGCACUGGAUCCAGGCACCUGCAAGAGUGUAGCAUCCUUCCCAAAGAAGCCUCUUUGCUGCAUCCGGAAGCCCCGUGCUGGGUACACUGCGGAGCAUACACACAAUGGAUUGCUUCCCAGUACCUCUAGUAUUACAUGAUAUCUGAAAUUCCAGCAUAAGGUGAGUUAGGUAGGAAAUGACCACCUGAAAAAAAUUCUAAAAAUCGUUGUGGAUUGUAAAACUUUUAGAUAAUCUGCUUACGCGAUCUUUGUUCUUUCACACUUUAUUGACUGCAAAGACCCCUACCCAGGUGUUUUCUCUGCUUUGCUUCUCAUUUCAAAAGGAUAUGGCUUAUGGAAAGUAAGUUCCAUUUGCAGAAGGGGAAAAGGAGGAUUUUUGUUUCUUUUCAUUGCAGGUCAGAACUACAUGAAUAGUGACACCUUAACAAGCUGAGUAAUCAAUCUUCAACAGUGGGGUAUUUUUUGUGGACCCAGAGGAUUUAAUUGGACAGGAGCAUUUUAUAAAGACCAAGAAGUUUCUGACAAUAAUAACAACUACCCAUUGACAUUUAUACAGUACUCUGUAGUUGAUAAAGUAUUUUCACAAGUUUCAUGUAGAUUCAUCUCCAGCAUUUAAUGUACUUUAAAAAAGCAACAGCUGACACUCACUGAGUCUUGCUAUAUGUUGGGCAGUUACAUUUAACCCAUUAAAUGAAGCAGUUUAUUAAUCUCCCAAGACAUCCUUAUGUUUUCUCCAUUUUAUAGAUGAGAAAACUGAGGCUCAAAGAAAUUAAAUGACUUCCCCCAAUCAGUCAUUCACACCCACAUGGCCUGCAAAUGGCUGUAGUUGAAUUACUGCCUAAGAGGCUAAUCCUCACCUUGGUAUUUGCAUUGUCUUGAUGGGGUGAGGAGUGAGUUGUCUCUUUCCUUACCUUAUUAAGUGUUCUGUGAAUUCUCACUUCUGCAGGGUCCUAGGUAUUCUAUGGGAAAAAAGGAGGCUUCUGCCUCAGGUGAGUUUCUGAACUGCUGAGCUACACAAAACUAAAUACGUAUUUUCCCUUUUUAAAA
ensembl:lncRNA